CAUGGAUACUACUUUGUCCCGUUAAUCUCAGGUUACCGAGUAUUGGAAGAGUUCAGCACGAAUAUCCAUACCUAACCUUAUUGUUGUGUACUUUUUUCUUUUCAUAUUUGUCGAGGUAAGCUAUGUCUUUUUUUAAUAACGUAGAGAAGUGUAAGAGAAAGUGUGUAAGAAAAAAAGCAAAAA
rnacentral:lncRNA from 1 species